UACGUAGGGGGCAAGCGUUGUCCGGAUUUAUUGGGCGUAAAGCGCUCGCAGGCGGUCGUGCAAGUCGCGUGUGAAAGCCCCCGGCUCAACUGGGGAGGGUCACGCGAUACUGUUCGACUUGAAGGCAGGAGAGGGAAGUGGAAUUCCCGGUGUAGUGGUGAAAUGCGUAGAUAUCGGGAGGAACACCAGUGGCGAAGGCGACUUCCUGGCCUGUUCUUGACGCUGAGGCGCGAAAGCUAGGGUAGCAAACGGG
rnacentral:rRNA from 1 species